rnacentral:rRNA from 1 species
GACGAACGCUGGCGGCGUGCUUAACACAUGCAAGUCGAACGGUGAACUCCGCUUGCGGGGGGAUCAGUGGCGAACGGGUGAGUAACACGUGGGCAACCUGCCCUCAGCUCUGGGAUAACUCCAAGAAAUCGGGGCUAAUACCGGAUAUGACCGCUGACCGCAUGGUCUGGUGGUGGAAAGAUUUAUCGGCUGGGGAUGGGCCCGCGGCCUAUCAGCUUGUUGGUGGGGUAGUGGCCUACCAAGGCGACGAUGGGUAGCCGGCCUGAGAGGGUGACCGGCCACACUGGGACUGAGACACGGCCCAGACUCCUACGGGAGGCAGCAGUGGGGAAUAUUGCGCAAUGGGCGAAAGCCUGACGCAGCGACGCCGCGUGGGGGAUGACGGCCUUCGGGUUGUAAACCUCUUUCAGCAGGGACGAAGCGAAAGUGACGGUACCUGCAGAAGAAGCACCGGCCAACUACGUG